GUGCUAUACUGCAGUCGAACGAACUCUGGUAUUGAUUGGUGCUUGCAUCAUGAUUUACAUUUGAGUGAGUGGCGAACUGGUGAGUAACACGUGGGAAACCUGCCCAGAAGCGGGGGAUAACACCUGGAAACAGAUGCUAAUACCGCAUAACAACUUGGACCGCAUGGUCCGAGUUUGAAAGAUGGCUUCGGCUAUCACUUUUGGAUGGUCCCGCGGCGUAUUAGCUAGAUGGUGGGGUAACGGCUCACCAUGGCGAUGAUACGUAGCCGACCUGAGAGGGUAAUCGGCCACAUUGGGACUGAGACACGGCCCAAACUCCUACGGGAGGCAGCAGUAGGGAAUCUUCCACAAUGGACGAAAGUCUGAUGGAGCAACGCCGCGUGAGUGAAGAAGGGUUUCGGCUCGUAAAACUCUGUUGUUAAAGAAGAACAUAUCUGAGAGUAACUGUUCAGGUAUUGACGGUAUUUAACCAGAAAGCCACGGCUAACUACGUGCCAGCAGCCGCGGUAAUACGUAGGUGGCAAGCGUUGUCCGGAUUUAUUGGGCGUAAAGCGAGCGCAGGCGGUUUUUUAAGUCUGAUGUGAAAGCCUUCGGCUCAACCGAAGAAGUGCAUCGGAAACUGGGAAACUUGAGUGCAGAAGAGGACAGUGGAACUCCAUGUGUAGCGGUGAAAUGCGUAGAUAUAUGGAAGAACACCAG
rnacentral:rRNA from 1 species